rnacentral:rRNA from 1 species
AUUGAACGCUGGCGGCAUGCUUUACACAUGCAAGUCGAACGGUAACAGGCCGCAAGGUGCUGACGAGUGGCGAACGGGUGAGUAAUGCAUCGGAACGUGCCCAGUCGUGGGGGAUAACGCAGCGAAAGCUGCGCUAAUACCGCAUACGAUCUAUGGAUGAAAGCGGGGGACCGAAAGGCCUCGCGCGAUUGGAGCGGCCGAUGUCAGAUUAGGUAGUUGGUGGGGUAAAGGCUCACCAAGCCAACGAUCUGUAGCUGGUCUGAGAGGACGACCAGCCACACUGGGACUGAGACACGGCCCAGACUCCUACGGGAGGCAGCAGUGGGGAAUUUUGGACAAUGGGCGCAAGCCUGAUCCAGCAAUGCCGCGUGCAGGAAGAAGGCCUUCGGGUUGUAAACUGCUUUUGUACGGAGCGAAAAGGCUCUCUCUAAUACAGGGGGCUCAUGACGGUACCGUAAGAAUAAGCACCGGCUAACUACGUGCCAGCAGCCGCGGUAAAAC